rnacentral:rRNA from 1 species
UAGUGAUCCGGUGGUUCUGUAUGGAAGGGCCAUCGCUCAACGGAUAAAAGGUACUCUGGGGAUAACAGGCUGAUACCGCCCAAGAGUUCAUAUCGACGGCGGUGUUUGGCACCUCGAUGUCGGCUCAUCUCAUCCUGGGGCUGAAGCAGGUCCCAAGGGUAUGGCUGUUCGCCAUUUAAAGAGGUACGCGAGCUGGGUUUAGAACGUCGUGAGACAGUUCGGUCCCUAUCUACCGUGGGCGUUGGAGACUUGAGAGGAUCUGCUUCUAGUACGAGAGGACCGAAGUGGACGAACCUCUGGUGUUCCGGUUGUCACGCCAGUGGCACUGCCGGGUAGCUAUGUUCGGAAGGGAUAAGUGCUGAAAGCAUCUAAGCACGAAGCCUACCUCAAGAUAAGGUCUCCCUGAGGGUUUAACCCUCCUAAAGAGCCGUUAGAGACCAUGACGUUGAUAGGUUCGGUGUGGAAGCGCGGUGACGCGUGAAGCUAACGAAUACUAAUUGCUCGUGAGGCUUGACUAU